rnacentral:rRNA from 1 species
GGGGGACUGGGCGCAGCCUGAUCCAGCCAUGCCGCGUGAGUGAUGAAGGCCUUAGGGUUGUAAAGCUCUUUCACCGAUGAAGAUAAUGACGGUAGUCGGAGAAGAAGCCCCGGCUAACUUCGUGCCAGCAGCCGCGGUAAUUAUCC